AUGGUUGGUUCCCAAGUCUUCAAAGAAAUUAUUGAAAUUUUUUUUUUAAAAAAACUCAUGUCAUCUAGCUUUUGUUACAAUCUCUCAACAAGCAGUUCAAGAUGUUCAUGAUACUUGGUUACCAUGUAAAUAUCAGCAUGUGGGUCCAUAACUCAUGCUAUGAAUUAGUUUGCACCAAAGAGCCUCACAACAAGAGCCAGAUUUACAUCCACAGAUCAGCCAGAUUUAUACAAGCACACUCUUAAUCCUCUCUCAAUUUAAGUAGUUUUCUUAUCCACCCAAACAUGCAUGCAUACUGAACUCUAUAUAUAUAUAAAUUAAAAAGAAGCUUACUGGAAAAGCAUAAGCAUAACAAGAUAAUUGUAACAAGUGAGAGGUGCUGAAACUUAGAUGAAGAGGUUCUCACAUUGAGGUUGAGUGGAGAAAUUAAUUCAUCCUCCUCUUUUACAGUUGCACUUUCACUCUCUCUCACUAACAAAAACUGCUUAAAGAUGAAAGAACUCAAGAAGAGCAUGACUAAGAGAAA
rnacentral:lncRNA from 1 species